UACGUAGGGGCCUAGCGUUGUCCGGAUUUAUUGGGCGUAAAGAGCUUGUAGGCGGUUCGGUAGGUCCGAUGUGAAAACUCGAGGCUCAACCUCGAGACGCCGAUGGAAACCCCCGAACUAGAGUCCGGAAGAGGAGAGUGGAAUUCCCGGUGUAGCGGUGAAAUGCGCAGAUAUCGGGAAGAACACCCGUGGCUAAGGCGGCUCUCUAGUACGGUACUGACGCUGAGACGCGAAAGCGUGGGGAGCGAACAGG
rnacentral:rRNA from 1 species